UGAAAAUGGAUGGCGCUCAAGCGUUCUCCCGAUACUCGACCGUCGGGGCAGUACCGGCGGGCCAUCAAAAAAAAAACCCCUCUCUCUCGGGAGAGGGGAAAAAAUAGAGAGAGAGCCCGUCUCAAAGCCCCGACGAGUAGGAGGGUCACAGCGGUGAGCGUUGAAGGGACUCCGGCGUGGGCCGGCCUGGAGCCACCGCUGGUGCAGAUCUUGGUGGUAGUAGCAAAUACUCGAGAGAGACCCUAGAGGGCUGAUGUGGAGAAGGGUUCCAUGUGAACAUCAGUUGGACAUGGGUCAGUCGGUCCUAAGUCCAUGGCGAAGGCCAGUUCCUACCGUGAAGGCAAGUGUCAACCCGUGGUGGUGUUCAUUACAAAAAAAUAAUAAUAACAACCCACGAGAGUAAGAUACGUCCUAGGAAUACCCUCUGGACGAAAGGGAUUCCGGUAAAUAUUCCGGAACUUGGCUUCGGAGAUGCAUGCAGCGCCCUCGGCCUGUCAUGGGCCUUGGGGUCUGGCUGGUGUUUAAACCCCAGUAAUGGGAUCAUAGCCCGCAUCCGUCGGCGGUGGCCCAGGGAAGAGUUUUCUUUUCUGUUUAAGACAUCUGUAUGGCCCUGGAAGCAACUCGCCAGGCGAGAGGGCUGUGGUACAUGGUAUCGCUGAUGUUCUAAGAGCGCUGCGGUUCUUGCAGCGUCCUGCGUGCCACCGUCGGCUCUUAAAGAUGUUGGGGAGGGUGUGAGUCUCUCGCACCCGCAAUUUUCGAGCCAAGCCGUACCCA
rnacentral:rRNA from 1 species